rnacentral:lncRNA from 1 species
UGCAAGUUUUACCUACUCAGCCACUUACUUUCCAGGAUCCUUCAUCAUGAAAGCAAUUGUAUGGGGUAAGAGAUUGGAGUUAGUGCAGGAAACAAGAAAAGAUAAAACUAGAGCCUCACCAAGGGAACAGCCCCAGACCAGGUAUAUUGGGGGCAAGAGGAAGGCGUUAAAGAUGAAAUGGAGUUUAAAGACAAACAAGUUUUAGGUGCACAGUGACCAUGCAAUGCUCCAAAGCCAGGUAUACAAGAUGCAUGGCAGUGGUGGUUGGAGAAAAUUGCCAUGGGAUUGGCACAUGGAUUGGCACUGAGCACAGGGAUAUGAAACUUCAUGCUCAUGAUUGCAAUUCAGGAAGCCAAAGGGCAAAGGAAGUAUUGUAUGGGGUUUGUGAUCUAAGUAUUAAGAAACCAAAAUGCAAAUACUAAUAAACAUGGAACCAAAAAGACUUUAUGUAUGGAGCAGUGCAAAGCUGGUAC